GUGAAGAAUGAGGGCAGGGGAGGAACAGGUGGGAGCUGGGGGCAGGUGUGCCAGAGGAGAGCGGUUUGGGGCAGGACUCCGAGGGGUGAGGAUGUGCAGCUGAGCGGAGUAAAGGCUGCUUUACUUGCUGGGGGCAGCUCAGCUACCGAGAUGGUCCCAGGAGGUGGACGGUGUUUACGUGUACUAACUCUGUUGUGCUACUGGCCUGACUUAAUCAGUGUGUUUCAGCGUGCCUGGCCUAACUGUAUCUGGUCUGUGGCCAGAAGAGGAAAAAUCUGUGGACUGAACGCAUGGUCUCCUGAGCUCUAGUCUCAGCUCCCAGUGGUGGGCUUUGAACUUGAAUAGAUUACAACUGGAGGAAUUCUAAAGAAUCCAGGUCUUCUUGUAAUGGUGUUUAACUGCAUUGUGCUCUCUGAACAGAGGAAAUCACUGAGAUGUCAAGGUCUAAAUGACAUUUUGAGACUGAGCAUACUGUAUAUAAGGGGAUCUUCCCUGGAUGAUCUGAUGGCAUGCAGCAUGAUAUACCAGCCAAGGAGAGACAGAAGGCACAUAGUGACGCUGUUUGUACUGCAUCCACCCACAGUUUUUAAUGGCAAGUUUUCUGAAAAGUCAUAUACUUCAAAGACUUACAAGAUUCUGAGUUACUGAGCUAGAAAUUAUGCUGGCUCUGCCCAACUUCUGUGCCAGGAUGUGGGGAUACUUGGCAGUGGUUUUGGAAUUCCAAGAAAAAUAACCUCUUUCCUUUGUAUGACGCACUGCCGACUUGCCAAACUCAAAGAGCAACAAGGAAGAAAACCACUGCAGAUGAGGAAGCAUGAAGUCUCCAGUUUCCCUUUUCAACAGCUGUGGAGAUGAUAACCCUAACAACUGCUGAAUAUUCAUAUCUUGUCUGCUUGGUGCAACAUCGUGCUAAUGAUGGGAGAGAACCUGAUGUGCCUCUUAACAAGGACAACUUGAAAGGAGAGCAUGAAAUGUCCAAAUGGUGAACAAACUGCAACUGUCCUUGUUAUGAAGUGUCAGCUGCAAACUACAGAUCCCAGCAGGGUCGUAGACAUCUGGACCCAAGAUGCAGCAUUGCAUGUUGGAACUUGCAGUGUGCUGGCACUGCCUCUGCGCAGCUGACCCGCCUGGCAGACCUGGGGGCAGUUAGCCACCUCACCAGUUUGCGGGAGCCUAUGCUUCACUUGAUGGACCACAAGCCUCAGUAUUAUCUUGGAUUUUUUUAAGAUAUUUUGGGGCUCUGCAUGUGUCUGUAAUACUGAUACCACCACAGUUCUCAAACAAAAUAGUUGCUUUUUCUUUCACAUAGGGAGAGCAGUAGGUUUUCUUUAUUUACAUUUCUAAUAUAGUUGUGCAUAGAGAGGAUUUGUUCAUAAUUAAGGCUUCUUUCUUCAGAGUCUUUUGAAGUUUAUUUCUUUGAGCUAAUUCUUAAGACUAAAUUCUUCCAAGCUACCAAUAAAAUGUUAA